rnacentral:rRNA from 1 species
AUGAACGCUGGCGGCGUGCCUAAUACAUGCAAGUCGAGCGAACAGAUGAGGAGCUUGCUCCUCUGACGUUAGCGGCGGACGGGUGAGUAACACGUGGAUAACCUACCUAUAAGACUGGGAUAACUUCGGGAAACCGGAGCUAAUACCGGAUAAUAUAUUGAACCGCAUGGUUCAAUAGUGAAAGACGGUUUUGCUGUCACUUAUAGAUGGAUCCGCGCCGCAUUAGCUAGUUGGUAAGGUAACGGCUUACCAAGGCAACGAUGCGUAGCCGACCUGAGAGGGUGAUCGGCCACACUGGAACUGGGACACGGUCCAGACUCCUACGGGAGGCAGCAGUAGGGAAUCUUCCGCAAUGGGCGAAAGCCUGACGGAGCAACGCCGCGUGAGUGAUGAAGGUCUUCGGAUCGUAAAACUCUGUUAUUAGGGAAGAACAAAUGUGUAAGUAACUAUGCACGUCUUGACAGUACCUAAUCAGAAAGCCACGGCUAACUACGUG